AUUUAGGGACUUCUUCCGUUAUCGGUAGAGUUCAUCACAACCCAUUUUAGUCAUCAUCUGCUGCACCAACAAUUAACAAUUUCGACUAAUGGCAGCUUUUGGCGUACAAAUGUGGGCUGAAUCAAACAGGAUUCUCUCCCUUUUCGCCACUUCUCUGUCUCCGAUUCACAUCCCUCAAAUUCAAGCUCAGCUCAUCGUUCAAAACCUCCAUUCAAAUCCCACCAUUGCCCACCAUUUCAUAAACACUUGCCAUGAUCUUCGACUUCUCGAUUCCGCUCUUCGCUUCUUUACUCAAAUCCCCAAACCCCACGUCUUCGUCUGCAAUUCCUUAAUCAGAGCCUUCUCCCACUCCAAAAUCCCCCGUACCCCUCUUUCCAUUUACGCCCACAUGAACAGAAACUCCAUUCUUCCCAAUAAUUACACCUUUCCUUUCCUUCUCAAAUCCUUGGCUGAUUUCAACCACCUUGUGAGUGGACAAUCUGUUCAUGCCCACGUUGUGAAAUUGGGCUAUGUUUCUGAUGUUUAUGUGCAGAAUUCGUUGAUGGAUGUUUAUGCGUCGUGUGGGAGAAUGGGGUUAUGCAAGAAGGUGUUCGACGAAAUGCCUCUGAGAGAUGUUGUGUCGUGGACUGUUUUGAUUAUGGGUUAUCGAGUUGCUUUGAUGUUUGAUGAUGCUUUGAUUGCGUUUGAGCAGAUGCAAUAUGCAGGUGUGGUGCCUAAUCGUGUGACGAUGGUUAAUGCAUUGGCUGCCUGUGCAAGCUUUGGAGCCAUUGAAAUGGGUGUUUGGAUACAUGAGUUUGUAAAAAGGAGAGGGUGGGAAAUGGAUGUGAUUUUGGGGACUUCUUUGAUUGAUAUGUAUGGGAAAUGUGGAAGAAUCGAGGAGGGAUUGGUUGUUUUCCAAGCCAUGAAAGACAAGAAUGUGUAUACAUGGAAUGCACUCAUUAACGGGCUGGCAUUGGCCAAAAGCGGAGAGGAGGCCAUUGCUUGGUUUAAGAGAAUGAACGAAGAAGGCGGCAUUGAGGCAGAUGAAGUGACAUUAGUGGCAGUGCUUUGUGCUUGUAGCCACUCUGGCUUGGUGGACAUCGGCAGGCAGAUCUUCGGGUCGAUGAUUGACGGUAAGUUCGGGUUUUCACCAGGAAUCCAACACUAUUCAUGUAUGGUUGAUCUCCUGGCUCGUUCUGGGCGUAUUGAGGAGUCCUUUGAAUUGAUUAAGAAUAUGCCUUUUGAUGCCACCAAAGCAAUGUGGGGGUCUUUGCUAGCUGGUAGCAGAGCUCAAGGGAGCUUGGAAAUGAGCGAAUUUGCAGCACGGAAGCUUGUAGAAAUGGAACCAGAGAAUGGUGCUUAUUAUGCUGUUUUAUCCAAUAUCUGUGCAGAGAUGGGGAAAUGGAAUGAGGUUGAGAAAGUGAGAGAGAUCAUGAAAGUGGAAGGACUGAAGAAGGAUCUGGGGUCGAGUUCUGUUGAGAGCUUCAAGAGGCUGCCCCAUUUCCCAUGGUAUCGAGUUCCGUGGUCAUGAUAACCGAGGUCUCACUUGUAAUGACUUUGUAAAUGCUUAAAAAGCUCUUGGGCUCAUGAUCUCCCUCAUCGCCUUUGUACUCGAAACAGAUGCGUUGCGCUAACCAGCGCGUAACCUUCCUUUCCCUAUCCCUCUUCUGGUUAUACCAUUACCAAUCUCAGGUAACCCCCGAGCCGGCUGCCCUUGACCUAAGAAGAACCAAUAUCCUUAUUACCAAAUAAGGACUAGCUUACUUCUCCGAUCUCCACCUGAAACUUGUUGGGCCAUUUUGACCAUCCCUGAUCCUAACUAGACUAGAUAAGGGUUAGGAGAUUCUUAUUAGUGUAGAAUAGUCAUUUUCUCUAAGUCGCGCGAGACUGAGUGGCAACAACAUGGAAUAACUUCUUGAACGGAGACGAGUUGCAGAGUUCCAUCCAUUGUUGGGCGUCCAUAGUUUUCUUAGUAAUGGAGAUGCUAAUUGGUAGCAGAUUUGAAGCUCCCAUUAAAUACUUGUGAGCCUGUAAUGGUUUGAGCUCCAAAGCAGAAAGGAGGCAGUGAGAAGUCUUGGAAAGCUGCAUUGGUUACAGGGUUCAAUAUUCCGGCGUCCUAGGCGUAGAGGAACCACACCACCAAUCCAUCCCAAACUUGGUGGUUAAAUUCUACUGCGGUGACAGGUUCAAUAUUCUAGCGUCCUAGGCGUAAAGGAACUACACCAAUCCAUCCCAAACUUGGUGGUUAAAUUCUAUGGUGACGGUCCUAGGCGUAAAGGAACCACACCAAUCCAUCCGAACUUGGUGGUUAAAUUCUACGGUGACAAUACUACAUCCCGAAUUUGGUGGUUAAAUUCUACUACGGUGACAAUAUUGCAAGGCGAUGAUAAAAAGCUUAACACCUCUAAUUCUAAGAUCUUAGAAUCCACCCGAGCCUUCCAUUUUUACUUCCCAUAAAUUGGAUUAUUUUG